CCUGGUUAGUGGGGGAUAACGUUCGGAAACGGACGCUAAUACCGCAUAACNUCCUACGGGAGAAAGCAGGGGACCUUCGGCCCUUGCGCUAUCAGAUGAGCNUAGGUCGGAUUAGCUAGUUGGUGGGGUAAUGGCUCACCAAGGCGACGAUCCGUAACUGGUCUGAGAGGAUGAUCAGUCACACUGGAACUGAGACACGGUCCAGACUCCUACGGGAGGCAGCAGUGGGGAAUAUUGGACAAUGGGCGAAAGCCUGAUCCAGCCAUGCCGCGUGUGUGAAGAAGGUCUUCGGAUUGUAAAGCACUUUAAGUUGGGAGGAAGGGCAUUAACCUAAUACGUUAGUGUUUUGACGUUACCGACAGAAUAAGCACC
rnacentral:rRNA from 1 species